UACAGAGGUGCCGAGCGUUAGGCGGAAUCACUGGGCUUAAAGCGCGCGUAGGUGGGCGUCUAAGUGUCCGCGUGAAAUCCCACGGCUCAACCGUGGAACGGCCGGGCAGACUGGACGCCUUGAGGCGCCCAGGGGCGAGCGGAACAAGUGGUGGAGCGGUGAAAUGCGUAGAUAUCACUUGGAACGCCGGCGGUGAAAACGGCUCGCAGGGGGCGUUCUGACACUGAGGCGCGAAAGCCAGGGGAGCGAACGGG
rnacentral:rRNA from 1 species